AUAUGGAUUUCAAUUCAUGCCAAAACUCCAUAUCUCCAUCCACACUCAGAAAUGCAGCUUUUGUGUUUAAUGCCUACCUGCAGGAGCAUGAACUAUGCCCUCCCAGUAAAGGGAAUGGUGGGGGAAAGAGGAAAAACCCCAGUUCAUGAAAAGCAAAAACAGGUGAAGUUCCUCAAGGGUUUGGCUCCACCUCUCAUGGCUGCAGUUGUUGCCUUAUCUCCUAUCUGCAACACCCCAGUAUCACUUGCACAAACCACAGAUAUACAAAGAGGAGCCGCAUUGUUUGGUCGAGCUUGUAUUGGAUGCCAUGAUGCUGGUGGAAACAUCAUACAACCUGGUGCAACACUCUUCUUAAAGGAUCUACAAAGAAAUGGAGUUGACACUGAGGAGGAGAUAUAUCGUGUGACAUACUAUGGCAAGGGACGAAUGCCGGGCUUUGGUGAGAACUGCACACCAAGGGGCCAAUGCACAUUUGGGGCUCGUUUACAGGAAGAAGAAAUUAAGCUUUUAGCUGAAUUCGUAAAGCUACAGGCUGAUCAAGGGUGGCCAAACUUAGAAAUUUCUGGAGAUUGAUUCCUGCUAAUAGGAAGAGGGGUGAGGCAGGGCCAGUCUAUUUCCGCCCCACCUUUUGCUUGCUCCUUCUAUUUGUAUCUUUAUGUAUUCACUCAAGGUAGUAUUGUCUCUCCUUAUGAAGCACAUAAAUGAAAAGUAGAGUAGAAUUAUUUCUAUUUUCAUGUGCCAGGACCCAUCACUAUGCUAACCAUAACAGAUACUAACUUCUCCUAUUUAGAAGCAUUUUGAGUUUGAAACUAGCUCGUGUACAUGUGAUCAUAUCUGCUCCAUGUUUGUUUUCCCAAAAACCAUUAUUUUGUCUAGCAUAGAGGAAAUAUGCACAUCUCAUGUUUCAGACAUGGAAACCUUGUGACAAUUUGAAGGCAUUAACCUGCAUGGGCUAGUGAUGAAAUCUUGACAUUCUUAAGAGAUUUAAGGUCUUCAACAUUUUCAAUCAGUGUAAUCAGACCUGAGUACUCAUCAAUUUCUAGUUCUUGGAGUGAAACAAGGUGUUGAAAUCCCAAUAUAGAUUUGAGAUUAUGAUAAAACUCGGUUCUUAGAUAUUUAGAGAAGUAAGAUUCUGCAGUUCCUCUAAUAAUGCAAUAAACAAGGGACAACACUACACAAGACUGAGAUGAUGUGAAGUAAUGAAGCUGGAAAAUGAAGUCAAUUAGCAUGUAGCAUCUAUCAAGGGGCAAAUGCUUAAGAGAAUUCAUAUUAGGGAUGGAAAUAGAGGUGAAUCACAAUACCAUACACAAGGGAGGAUUAGAAUCCUUACAAAAGUAGGCGGUCAGCACCCCGAGGUUUGGGUCCCCAUGGAGACCUAAGGGCUUGGCCAUGAAAGGUUCCUUGGUUAUCAGAAAAUCCUUACAAAAUUAGAUUUUGGUUUUUAUGAGAAUGAAUAUUUUUUUAUUCCUGUACCCAUUUUUAAUUAUAAUCGACACUCAAUAAUGAAUAGGAACCAGAAUAGAUUUCCUAUUCCCCUCCCCUAUUCCAGUGUUCCAAAUACACCCUUAAAGUUAAGGUUCAGGAGAAGGUUUAUGAAUGAAACACAAUCAUAUAGCAUGGUCAUGAACCUCAAUUGCCUACCACCACACUAUAGUUAGCAUCUUUUCCAGCCUUUUCUGCUCCUUCUUAGACUCCAUGCCAGUCCAAGCCGGCUUCCAACAAAGGAACCUAACCUCCAAGAGAGGACUCCGAGAAAAGCAGUAAGAAUGAUUUCUGCCAUCCUUGCUCUUCAGUCAAAAAACCCAAUAGAAGACAUGCAACACGGUGACUGACACAAGCUGGAACAAGUUGAAAAACCUACUCUUAGAGUCCAGUAUAUGCAAGGAAAUGUAGGGACUCUAAGUCUUAUGACUGUAGAAGAACUUGUGGUGCAACUAUGCAAACAAGGACAGUUUUCAGAUUUCUGGGAUCCUCUGCAAGAACAUGCAACGGUUUAAGCUUAAUCAAGAUGGCUAGCCAGUGGCCAUUUUCCUUGGUAUGAUCUCCUGACAAAAUCUAUAGUGUAACUCACUCCACCAUUGUAUAAAUUUGACUUGGUGUGAGACCCACCAUGAAAAUAUCUGUUCAUUACUCAUAAAUUUUAGAGUGCUUCAACAGCUCCAUUCACCAUGAAAA